rnacentral:lncRNA from 13 species
CUUUGCCCAGUAGAGGGAAAUGCCCUGAAGAGUAAUGGACUUCAGCUCUCAACUUAAGAACCUCUACCAAGACUUCCCACUUACAAAAUACUUGAACUUUCGCAUAAGCUUAUUGUACAUGGUUGUAAAUCCAGUGAGGUUGAGUGAUCAGUGAUUUUUAUUAAUGCACUCUAUGGAAAAGGAGAGCAAGAAAGGCAAAUUGAUUUCUUGAAGUUAGUCAGUUAAUCUGUGCCAGAGUUGAAACUGAAAAGCAAGCCUACCUACGCUUUCCAUGAUACUCAUAUCCUAAGAGAAUUGAUAAAACAAAGAACAAAAGAAUGUAGAAAGCCUGAAAAAAUCCUGAUGCUCGUGCUAUACAUCAUACCAAUUAAGUCAGACCUUCUGGGGGUCAAACCAAGGCAUCAGAAUUAAAAAAAAAAAUCUUCAGCACUAAAAGCAUCAUACAUCCCCCUUCCUGCAACAUUUGAACGUGUUCAUCACACAUCGUGAGGUUUUUGGUAAAGUGGAAGAAACAACAAUAUGAACAAUUUGGGAGAGGAGAGGCAGGAAAGCGGAGAAAGAAGAAGGAAAGGAGUAAUGUCUUCUUAUUUAGCCAGUGUGGCUUGUGACUCCUUCUUGGGGACUGUCAUAUCAUGGGUGCAUAUUUUAAAUGACCUGGCUGGCUUUGUGGAUCAAGUCUUUGUUUCCAUGACACUGCAACUCGCAGAGGGCAAAGAGCUGGUUGACUCAUUGGCUUUUUCUAAGAGGCAGAGUUGACUGCAGCAAGUUUUCUAACACCUACAGGUACUAAGAGCUAGUUGUAUUAACUUUCAAAAGUGUAAUACAAAUUAUAAUUUCUUUUAAUUAAAUUUUACCCAAUUCUUAACUUUGGUUCAAGAGACGAUUAGAGAUAUUCCCAGGGACAAGGUUAUAUAUCACACAUUAUACUUCAUGCUGAUUUGUGGUCUUCAUUUUAUAAUCCUCGUCAUCAAAUCCCAUAUCACACAUAAUAAAGAAGAUUUUUGUCUCA